rnacentral:rRNA from 1 species
AUACGUAGGUGACAAGCGUUAUCCGGAUUUACUGGGCGUAAAGGGCGUGUAGGCGGUCUUGCAAGUCAGAAGUGAAAUUCCUGAGCUCAACUCGGGCGCUGCUUCUGAAACUGCAGGACUUGAGUGCUGGAGGGGAUAGCGGAAUUCCUAGUGGAGCGGUAAAAUGCGCAGAUAUUAGGAAGAACACCGGUGGCGAAGGCGGCUAUCUGGACAGUAACUGACGCUGAGGCGCGAAAGCGUGGGGGGCAAACAGUAUUAGAUACCCGGGUAGUCCACGCCGUAAACGAUGAAUACUAGGUGUAGGGGGUAUCGACUCCCUCUGUGCCUCAGUUAACACAAUAAGUAUUCCGCCUGGGGAGUACGGCCGCAAGGUUGAAACUCAAAUGAAUUGACGGGG